rnacentral:tRNA from 1 species
GCCUUGUUAGCUUGGUUAGUAGAGCGUCUGCCUUCUAAGCGCUAGGCCGCUGGUUCGAUUCCCGCCCUGGGCG